rnacentral:tRNA from 1 species
UUAGCUCAGUGGUAGAGCGCCUGCCUUACAAGCAGGUGGUCAUAGGUUCGAAUCCUAUACCGC